UGGGGAAUCUUCCGCAAUGGACGAAAGUCUGACGGAGCAACGCCGCGUGAGUGAAGAAGGUUUUCGGAUCGUAAAACUCUGUCUUUUGGGGCGAACGUGAGUAUGGUGAACAAUCAUAGUCAGUGACGGUACCAAAGGAGGAAGCCACGGCUAACUACGUGCCAGCAGCCGCGGUAAUACGUAGGUGGCAAGCGUUGUCCGGAAUUAUUGGGCGUAAAGAGCGCGUAGGCGGGAUAGUCAGUCUGUUGUAAAAGUGCGGGGCUCAACCCCGUGAUGGCAAUGGAAACAGCUAUUCUUGAGUGCAGGAGAGGAAAGUGGAAUUCCCAGUGUAGCGGUGAAAUGCGUAGAUAUUGGGAGGAACACCAGUGGCGAAGGCGACUUUCUGGACUGUGUCUGACGCUGAGGCGCGAAAGCCAGGGGAGCGAACGGGAUUAGAUACCCCGGUAGUCCUGGCCGUAACGAUGGGUACUAGGUGUGGGAGGUAUCGACCCCCUUCCGUGCCGGAGUUAACGCAAUAAGUACCCCGCCUGGGGAGUACGGUCGCAAGACUGAAACUUAAAGGAAUUGACGGGGGUCAUAGCUGUUUCCUG
rnacentral:rRNA from 1 species